GUCAGAGGAUUAGCUCAAGCUCCAACAUAUCUAGCUGCUACCUUGCUUAACAUAGCUGCUACCUCAAUCGCUUUAUUUUUUUGUGUUUUUCCCCCCUGUGGCAUUUAUUCUGUGCACAUGAACACGUUUUCAGAAUUGCUAUGUGUAACUCAGACGGUUACUCUUGUGUGUUUUGCUGCUAGUUGUGCGAACGAGCCAGACAAACCAGCUGGGAGGAGGACGGAAGCACCCCUUCUCCAUCCGCGUUCAGUUGCUAAAUACGGAUCCACCCCGUAGUGUGGUGUUUUCCAUAGCUGUUCCUUGCUCCUGUUUCACAACAUAUCAAGGCUGCCAAGUAAAUGAAGAAUGAAUCACCGCACACUGGUCAACAGCCGACAGGGUCCUUCCACAACCACAUACUUAUGCCAGUAAAAGCCACAGCUUUUCUCCUCCAAUCCAAGAAGCCUGGACUGCAGUCACCAUCUCAACACACCAACCAAGAGAAAGGCGGAUGGCUCAAUUCAAUAUGGAAAAUUGCACAAUAAAAGUUCCAGGACAAGAAGGCUGCAUACUGUGAACGUCAACCUUCAGGGCACCGUCCUGCGCAGAAGACUUUCUACCCUAAGAGGGAUGGCUGACCGCAGACACUCACAACCAGCACAGACGCCUCCAACCUCAAACUAGGCCCUUCACAGCUGCUGCACUUACCCACCUUCCCAGAGUUUUUGUGUGGUAAUGACAACUGUAAAUAUAGUAUAAAGUAAUGUAUCUAGUGUCAUGUGUAAUACAUUGUUUAAAUUGUCCAUACAUUUCAAUGACAGUAAAUAUUGGUGGACACAAUUUGACUGUGUGGCUUUUUUUAAUUCAUUCUCUGACUGAAAAUGCAUGGUUACAUAAUUUAUAUAUUCCACAAGACCACAAUCAGAAGAACAUUUGACAGGUUGCAUUUAUUUUCUAUGUAUGAAAAAAACAAUGGUAACAAGACAAACGUGGUUCCAAACCAAAAAGGUGAGAUGUACAGAUGAAUGCUCCUACAGAUAAUGAAAAAUAAUAAAAGUCUGCACACUGCCGGUUUGUGUGUUUUAUACCGUACUCUGUAUAAACCUUUUAUAUUGCUCUAGUGGAGCAGGGUAACCCUGGCUAAUCCUGGGUAUUGUACUGUGUAUUACAACGUCAGCCCUGUUCAAGUGCCCCAUACUGUCUGUAGGC